UACAGAGGUCUCAAGCGUUGUUCGGAUUCAUUGGGCGUAAAGGGUGCGUAGGUGGCUUGGUAAGUCGGAUGUGAAAUCCCGGGGCUCAACCCCGGAACUGCAUUCGAUACUGCCAGGCUGGAGUACUGGAGAGGAGAUUGGAAUUUACGGUGUAGCAGUGAAAUGCGUAGAUAUCGUAAGGAAGACCAGUGGCGAAGGCGGAUCUCUGGACAGUAACUGACGCUGAGGCACGAAGGCCAGGGGAGCAAACGGG
rnacentral:rRNA from 1 species